CACGUAGGCGGAUCGGUAAGUCAGAUGUGAAAUCCCGGAGCUCAACUCCGGAACUGCAUUUGAUACUGCCAGUCUUGAGUGAGGUAGAGGGGGGUGGAAUUCCCGGUGUAGAUGUGAAAUUCGUAGAUAUCGGGAGGAACACCAGAGGCGAAGGCGACCCCCUGGGCCUUUACUGACGCUGAGGUGCGAAAGCGUGGGGAGCAAACAG
rnacentral:rRNA from 1 species